AUGUGCCGGAGGCCGACGAUUCAGUGGGUCGCACCCCAUUGGAAGGUGCCUCUCCCUUUGAAGAUUAAAUUUUUUGUCUAGCAACUGUUAACGGGUCGCCUCCCGACUAGGACAAAGGUGCUCAAGCCGCACGGCCGGGGUAAUGGGUUGUGCCCCUUGUGUGGUGUUCUAGAGAAUGGGACCCACAUCCUCUUCUCCUGCACGACAGCUAGAUCGCUAUGGAGCUUUGUCCGUGAGGCCCUCGGGACUGAUCGGGAGGCGGCGGAUCUUGCCAGCUUCCUUCAAGCCAGAGCAACGCAGACCAGAAGACAAAGAUGCCUAUUAUGGCUGCUACGCUUUCUUGGACACUCAGGACGACACGUAAUAAGAUGGUGA
rnacentral:rRNA from 1 species